AACUGUUAAGUCUAAUUGUUGAAUGUUGCCAUUGUGUUUCUUAAAUUUGUACAGUCUUAGUUUAAGCAGUAGGAUCAAAGCCAUUCCUUUGAUCCUGACCACCUCUCCAGCCACUCUGUGCUGGGGGAGGUUUUAUUGUAGAUACAUCCUAUCUGAAAGAUCUGUUUCUUUUGAUGUAAACUUCCUGGGUUUAUGACCCUUUGGUCAGCAGGAGGUAACACACACACACACACACACACACACACACACUUACAUACAGUGCCUUGUCUAUGUAACCAAAGGGGGGUUGCAAGGGGAGGUGCUUUGUAAACUAUUGUUUGAAGAUUGUCAAUAAAAGGCAGCGAGAGGAGGCCACCAUUGGGGUCAUUGUCGUGCUGGACACAGACGAGGCCUCCCUUGCGCAAGUAAUGGAUCGAUCGACUGUCUUGUUUUCUUCAAACCCCGCUAGAAUUAGCGGGGCUUGUGGAAACACAGACCCAACAUUUAUUUGGUCCUUCGGAGCCGGAGCCUAACACAUUGCAUCCACCGAGGAGAGGGAGAGGACGCCACCGCAACGUCUGGGAUGAUUGACGUAAAGCCCUGGUGUUUUUGGCUUGCCACCAGGCCGGGAAGUUUGCUCCUGACCUCCCCUCGGGAUGGAUGACGAUUGACGGGAUCCAGAGGCUCUUCCCAUGAACGUAAACAAACAAUAUUGUGAGGUGCCAUGACGAGAAGGAGUGACUGAGAGGAUCGUCCACAAGGUGGAAGCUGAGGCCAGGAGAGAGUUUUCAGGAGGAUCGGAGAUCACCUUCAGCACAGAGAGCUGUGUUACUGGUCUUCCAAAGGAUCGUCACGAGGAGACUUUGCACAGCAAAUCUUAAAUAAGAUGAAAGAGUUUCGACGUUGACGUUAAGGAAGACAACUAAGCUGUUUGCGUGUCGAGGAGCCUGUGCCAUCACCAGGGAAGUCUCAAAUGUCCCAGGAAUGGGUGGACCAAAGACCAGCUUUCCAGAGUCAUUAUUUUGUUUUAGGAGUUUUACUUUUCAUUUUGUUAGACAUGGCACAGUUGAAAGUAAAAGAAGACCACUCUAAUUUGUCAUGUGUUGUCAUAUUUUGAUAUAUUUGAUUACUUUUCAUUGGUUAUAUUAUAUCGGGUAAAAAUCACCCGGCAUUAGUGAUCGUGUUACUAUUUAUAGCGAUAGUGUUCUAGGGUUAAAUCUUCAGCAGCGUUGGAAAAUGGAACCUGAGGGAGCGUGCCAAGCCUCAGAAAGUGACAGCGCAGAGGAGGUCCAGCGAUGGACUUGUGGUUCUGUGAACAGCACAAAUGCCAGGUGACUGUAAAAUAACUAACAGCACUUUUUCCACAAGUGAAGCCAGUAACUUACUAUCCUAAAAGAUUAGCUCUAGUUGCUCGUGCUUUACCUCCAUGUGUGAGAUCAGUAUGUGCAGCAGCUUAAGCUGUACAAUGUUUCAAUAGUUUAUUUCACCUUUUGACAUUGUUAGUUCCACACGAGGUAGAUGUCUACUACUGCAGACUAAACUUACAUUUCUGACACCUACAAGACACUUGUCUUUAAUGUUACUCUCACAACCACACAUAUUACCAUAAAGUGGUGCACAAUUCUGAAUCUGUCCAACCCUUUUUGCCAACGGAGGAGGGCACUUCUCAUGAGUGUAGAGAGCGCGGGGAGAAGAAGUGUAAGCUGAGGGAUGACUUGAUAGAUGUGCCACUCGUUGAGGGAAAGGUUUGGUUUGCUGAUGGCUUGAGUUUUACAACAGCAGAGGGACAGACUAGAACACGUUUUACUGUAGCAGACAGUGAGAGAGAGUUAUCUAUGUAGGACAACUAGCAUGUUUCAUAUUUGCUUGAGCAGCAGAGAUGCUAGCUUUAACGGAAGCGUGUAAAGCUGUAGAGAGACAAUAUACACUGAUAGGCAGUAUACAUUUGCUACUGUACAUUUCUUUGUAGUGCAGUGAGUGAGACGAGGUGUGACAACCUCUACAGGGAAACCUGCAGAACACACCAAACUCUUGCAAAAUCUGCUGGAGGCAGUGUUAUUAACCAGUAGAAUUGCCGUUUGUAAAUGUGCAGCACACAUGUGAGGGAAAGAUCCAGUUGCAUUAGGGAAAGUUUUUGCAGAUAAGAUCACAAAAGAAGCAGCUGUAGUUAAACAUGGUGUUAACCUUUUAUCAGUACAGCAUCAGCAGACAUGCAGGCCCACUCACCUACAGCAGGAAAACAGUUGUGACUUACAGAGGGAGCAAGCUUGCAGGAUGAUGUUUUUUAUCUGUGUGAUAAACCAGUACUGCCUAAUAAUUUGUAUAAGACUGCUGCUAUUUUGAGCCAUUGGCUUUGCCAUGUCUCAAACAGGAGGGAAAUGAGCAGUCGUUAUACUCAUUCUAGGAUUAUUAAAUACUUUUUAAAAAAAAAAAACUUUUGCAGGCAGAGAGAACUAAUGGAAUAGUAAAGUUAAGAUUUAGGAAGACAGGCAGGACAUGGUUAGACUGUAUAGAAUAAGUACAUGAGGAUUACUCCAACAGAGAAUGGUCUGACUCUUUGAGAUUACACAUGUUAGAGCAUUUAGAGUUCCAGUCUUCUGUAGUGAUGAUAGAAAAGCAGAAGAGAGAGCGUAUUAGCAGAUUAGAUGCUUGAAAAUGUUUAAAAGUAAAGUAGUCAUGAGAACAAAUGAUCUGCCAGAUGAUUCUGUUUCUCCGCAGGAGCAGAGUCUGAAGUCUGGAGAUUGGAUGUUGAUAAGGCCAUGGAGAGGAAGUGCUGGUCCAGUCCAUGGUGGGAAGGUCCAUAUCGGAUGCUGCUGACGACGACCACAGCAGUGAAGAUUGCUGGAAGGAACACUUGGAUAUAUCAAGCGCACUGCAAGAAGGUGACACACAUCCAGGCCAGCUCGGAGUAAGUGGCAGGAAGACCGGGAACAAAGGGGGGGAAAAGCCUCCAGGGCCCCUCGUCUCAAUCCGGUGAAGAAACCAACUGAGCCACAGGUACUCAUCAGAAUGGCUGGGAAUGUGCUGUGCAUCUUCUUGUGCCUGUGGAACAGAGCAAACCACACCCAGUACCAGCAUGGGUUUUCAACAACUACUGGUGGCAGUUUAAGAACACAACCGCUCACAUAAAGAAUGAGACCAAUGGUUAUGCUUGUGAUGCCACUGGCUACACAUUCUUCUGGACUGUGGCCCUAUAGCAUCACUGAGAGCGAGGCAGUUUGUCUGGUUGCUUUAGCAACACAUCCGGGAACACUGCCAACUUUUCAACUGCUCUGAACCUGAAUGGAAGGUUGAUUCACCAGUAGCUGGGAAGGUGAACUGCUCUGGUGAGACAGACCUGCUCGUCUGACUCAAAGAAUAUGACUUGUUGCAGGACAUUGAACAGCUAAACGAACUGGAAACAGGCCAAUUGCCUAUGUGUAUGAAGGACAAUGGAUUAGCCCAAGUUGGAGAUCAACCAUGGAACAUGGCAACAUCACCUAUUCUUUUUGUUUUCUGCAAGAAGGAUGUAAACAGAGAAGCCUUUUGUCUACAUUACAUCAUGAACACUUGAGGUUUCGAGCCAAGAAGUUCAAAACAGCUUGAUCCAAUUUCCUUUACAAAGCUUUUUCUGUGGUGACAACAGGACAGGAGAAGAGUUGUAAAUGCAGAUAAUUCACCAGUUGACUCUAACCCCCACAGGAUGCCUACAGUGAAAAGAUUUGGGGGGUUGAUAGGAGUCAUAAAGAAGGGUGUUGACCAGGCUGCAGCUUUGAAGUUAGCUGAGAGCCAUAUGGACAAACAAUAAAGUCAACUGAUGCGUUUAAAUACCUAUGUCUGUAUACAGUUGGAUUGUAGUGACAUAUGAUUUUUGAGAAUGAUGAUUCUUCUUGUUUGACCUUUGACAUUCAGUUGUUUACUUGAAGAAAUACAUAAUGAAUUGCACGACAGGAGUAGAUCCGCCACAAGGCUGGAUAGCUUGGUUACCGUCUGGUCCUUGGUGGCAUCUUCUUUUGAAAAAAUUAAUUCCUGUUUUUGGACUGUUGAUACUGAUUUGCUUAUGUAUAGGAUGUAGUUUACUGUGUAUGAAUGAAAUCUAUACUGACACUGUCCAAACAAAGGGUGCAUAAGUUGAAAUUUAAGAACAAUGACAAAAAGGAGGGAAAUGUUAAGUCUAAUUGUUGAAUGUUGCCAUUGUGUUUCUUAAAUUUGUACAGUCUUAGUUCAAGCAGUAGGAUCAAAGCCAUCCCUUUGAUCCUGACCACCUCUCCAACCACUCUGUGCUGGGGGAGGUUUUAUUGUAGAUACAUCCUAUCUGAAAGAUCUGUUUCUUUUGAUGUAAACUUCCUGGGUUUAUGACCCUUUGGUCAGCAGGAGGUAACACACACACACACACACACACUUACAUACAGUGCCUUGUCUAUGUAACCAAAGGGGGGUUGCAAGGGGAGGUGCUUUGUAAACUAUUGUUUGAAGAUUGUCAAUAAAAGGCAGCGAGAGGAGGCCACCAUUGGGGUCAUUGUCGUGCUGGACACAGACGAGGCCUCCCUUGCGCAAGUAAUGGAUCGAUCGACUGUCUUGUUUUCUUCAUGAUGAAUAAGUCUCUAGAAUUAGCGGGGUUUGUGGAAACACAGACCCAACAUUAACCCUUCAAUUAAACUUUUAAGGCUGAUGUAUUUUUGAAAGCUACUAUUAUCUUGGAGCAGAGACACAAAAGGUACAUAUUAGUUUGUGUCAGUUGGACUGAUUUGAUUCAGACUUAGCUUAGGUGAAGAAGUGACAGUAUACUGGAGCUAAAAAACACACUGUAACAUUCCAGAAUCAUAAUUUGCCAUAUAAUAAGAAAAAAAAAUAUUGUUGUGGAUAUCUUAAAUGUACCUAAAUGUAAUUAGUCAAGAAAUAGUUUUAGUAUUUAGGUCCUAUUCCCUGGCAGGGAUAGCUCAGUAGGUAGAGUGGUGGCCCCAUGAUCGGAAGGUCGGGGGUUCGAUUCCCCUGGUACCCUGAGGUACCCCUGAGCAAGGUACCGUCCCUACACACUGCCCACUGCUUCACUGAGUGAAUGGGUUAAUUGCAGAGAGGGAUUUUCCCCACGGGGACCAAUAAAGUACACUUUCUUUUUCUAUUCAAAUAACAAAGUUUUCUGGUUCUGUAUAAUUAUACUUUAGAGGGGGUUAGGGUAAGCCUUUCACCCGCCGUCAGUCUUUACAUUGACCAAAGCUAACACAAAUGGUAUUCCACCUGUGCUAAAAAAUUAAGUCAGUGUUUCUUGAGUAACGACAGUGGCCACUUGAGGUCAGCUCCAAAAGCAUGUUAAAGCACCCAACUUAAUAGCAAUAACAUUUCUCUGGUAACAACUGUGCAAAAGUUAUUUAUUUAUUUUAAAAUUCAACUUCCAUUUCUAUAGUUUAUUUAUUUAUUUUUAUCUUUACACUCAGUUUAAUUUAUAGGCAUUCCAGCAUAUGAAACUAUAGUCAAUAGCUGUCAGCUAGGCCUCACUUCCUCUUAUUCAACUUUUUGAACUAAACCUUUCUACUGUGACUAUACUGAAGGUGCCUUGUGAAAACAUUUAAUUUAAUUAUUUGACUUGUAUGGUUUGCUAUGUGGUACUGAAGCCGUAUGUGCUUCAGUUUAUUAAGCUGUAUGGUUUGUGGUUUAAGGACUAGUGAUGGGUCGGUUGCGAACGAAAUGGCUCUUAGAGCUGGAUCUUUGAAGUGAACGAUGCGAGCCGGCUCCUUUUUGGGAGUCGUGGUUUUUUUUUUCUUUCUCCUGCCAUCUCUUUCACUUUUUUUCGCUUCACGCUCCAAGUAACGUAUUUGCGCUGAGCAGAGACCAAACAGAGCCUUGCGUUUGCGCCCCUCCCCCCUCUGCUCAGCGCUGAGCUGAGGGGGCUGGGCGGUAGUUACACUCGCAACAGUAGUAGCACACAACAAGAGCAGCAGGGAGAGGGAAAAAAGAGAGCCGGGAGCAACAACAAGAGACAACAUCGUGACAUUGGAAAGGUACAGUAAAGAAAAUGAGUGACACCAAGAAAAGAAGCAAAGUCUGGAACCAUUUCAAUCUUAUUGACAAAACAAAGGCAGAGCGUAGAGUCUACAAGAAAAGGAUAUCAUAUAGAGCCGGCUCCACAAACAACAUGCACAGGCACCUAAGAACUGUCCACCCAUCAGUGCAAUGGGAAGAUAAAACGCGGUCAGCUGAGUGUGAUAUUGAUAUUUCUAAAAAAAAAUUAAUUAAGGGAAAGGUAUUUCCAAACUAAUUAAAGAUCUGGGCGUUCUCCCCCCUUUUCCCUCAUAUUUUAAGUUAUAUUCUAUUGUGUUGUGGUUUGCAGUGUUUUGUGUUGUUUCACUUUAAAUUUGUUUAAAAGGAAAAAGCUGAAAAUUUAAAUAGUUAAAAGUUGAAAUGUAUGAAAUGUAAAUAGUUGUUUUUUGUAUUUUAUAAUUUAUUUAUUACAUUUUAUGUGGAGUGAAUAAAUACUGUACUCUCGUACAUCAGGAACUGCGUUGACAAUGUCACCGUCAACAGAAGGGUCAGGGUGUUUCCAAAUCAAAAACCCUGGAUGAAUAGCGAAGUGCAAUCCCUCCUAAAAAGCCGCAACACUGCCUUCAAGUCAGGGGACAGGGCUGCGUAUAGGCGGCCAGGGCAGACCUGAGUAGAGGCAUCAGGAAAGCUAAGGCUGCCUAUAGGAGGAGGACUGAAGAUCACUUUGCUGAUAACGACCCCAGAAAAAUGUGGCAGGGAUCAAUCACAUUACCAACUACAGAAGCAAUAACCAGGCCAGAUGCCUCGCUGGCUGAGGAUCUAAACCGUUUCUUCGCCCGCUUUGAGACGACCAGGCCCUCAGCUGUCACACCACUUCCACCUGCCCCCAGCACUGGCACACUAACAAUUAGGGAGCAUCAAGUGAGGUGUGUUCAAAGGUCAGUGAAUCCCAGGAAGGCAGCAGGUCCUGAUGGAAUACAUGGAAAGGUUCUCAGAGCAUGUGCUGACGAACUGACUGGAGUCUUCACUAAAAUCUUCAACCUUUCCUUGUCAUCAAACACCGUCCCGCCCUGCCUCAAAACCUCCACCAUCAUCCCCAUCGCCAAGAAGACAGCUGUGGUCAUCCCAAAUGACUACAGGCCUGUUGCACUUACACCUGUAGUGAUGAAGUGCUUUGAGAGACUGGUCUGUCAGCACAUCAGGGCCGCUCUGCCUCCCACUCUGGACCCCCACCAAUUUGCCUACAGGACAAAUCGAUCCACCGAGGACGCUAUCACCAUAGCGCUCCACACUGCGCUGAGUCACCUGGAGCACCGAGGAAGCUACGUGAGAAUGCUCUUUCUGGACUUUAGCUCAGCAUUCAAUCAUAUCGUCCCGGGAUCCUGGUCCAGAAACUGUCUCACCUGGGACUCUCCACCCCCAUCUGCCUCUGGAUCAAGGACUUCCUGACAAAUAGACCACAGUCUGUCAGACUCGGCCCCCACCUGUCCAACACCAUCACACUCAGGACCGGGUCUCCACAAGGAUGUGUUUUGAGUCCCCUCCUGUUUACGGUCUACACAUCCGACUGCUCCCCUACCCAUCUCUCAAACACCAUCAUAAAGUUCGCGGAUGACACCACAGUGGUUGGACUCAUCUCAAGGGGGGAUGAGUCGGACUACAGAGAUGAGGUCAACAGACUGACUGAGUGGUGUUCAGUUAACAACCUCCAACUGAACACCACGAAAACGAAAGAACUUAUCUUGGACUUCAGGAAGUGCAGAGCAGACCCGGCCCCACUUUACAUUCACGGGAACUGUGUGGAGAGGGUACACUCCAUGGGGUUUCUGGGCAUGCAGAUCUCUGAUGACCUCUCCUGGACUGCAAAUACCACAGCGGUGGUAAAAAAAGGCCCAGCAGCGUCUCGACUUUUUGAGAGUGCUCAGGAGGAACAACCUGGAGGAGAGGCUGCUGGGGACAUUUUACAGAGCCACCAUAGAGAGCAUCCUAACGUACGGCAUAACAACAUGGUAUGCAGGGUGCUCAGCUGCGGACAGGAAAGUACUGCAGAGGGUCAUCAACACAGCCCAGAAGAUCACUGGCUGCUCUCUGCCCAGCCUGGAGGUCACUGCAAACUCCCGGUACCUCAGCAGAGCUGGCAAUAUCAUCAAGGACUACUCUCACCCCAGCAAUCAACUGUUUGAACUAUUACCGUCAGGCCGACGGUACAGGUCACAUAAAACCAGGACAAACAGAUUCAGGGAUAGCUUCUUUCCCAGAGCUAUCACCGUAGUAAAUAAGCACAAAUACAAUUGAACCUGCUUAGCUAUACCAUACCGUCACUGCCAUUAUAUUAUGCUGCUAUUCAUACUGUCAUUAUAUUAAUGCUGCUAUCCUGUAUAUAUCGUACUUACUAUUGUUUGAGUAGUUACGAUUGUUUUAUUGUACCUUUUAUAUUUUACAUUUAUAUUUAUUAUUGAAUCUUGCACCAAGGCAGUGGCACUCCAAUUUCGUUGUACUCUGUACAAUGACAAUAAAGGCUAUUCUAUUCUAUUCUUUUUCCGCUUCACUACGCACGCGAGCCUUGUGCUUUGCGCUGGGAAGAGGAGGGAGCAGCGGUAGUUACACUCUCAGUAGCACAGGAACAGAGCCAGAAGGAAAGAGAGAGAAAGAGAGCCAGGGACAACAACGUCACAUUAGAAAGGUAUAGUAAUCAUCCACAACUAUUUUCAGUUGCAGUUGAUAAAGGAUUCAGAAAGUUUAGUCAUGCAGGCCUGUAGCGACUUCCACAGUCGCUAGAGGCCGGGGAUGAAGCCUGCCUAUUUGCCUGACGCGCUGUCAACUUUACGCAAUAAUGCGAGAGGUGGAAUUGUUUGCUUGUUUAAUUAAAGUGCUUUGCGAUUUUUACAGAGUAGUAUCAUCGGCUCCUGAUUCAAACUCUUACAACAUCACAGGCUCUAAUAUAACGAAGUGAACAUGUAGUGCAGCGGUCAACAAAAACUACGGCUACCCAGCCCUCCUCUCUGUCAAAAUCAAAACCAGUGAAUGACAGACUGACAACGCCCAUUUAUGUCACCCACGUGACUCCCAUAACAACCAAACAAAUAAAAACCCAGUGAUCAUCAAAAUUCAAUACAUUCAAUUAUGGCUCCUACAAGGCCUAUAUGACAGAGAAUAUGCAUCUUCUGUCAUGGUUCUGGGUCUGUUGGACCCAGCAAUUGAGUUUAUGAUGUUUUGGUUUACUUUGGCAUCAUGGAUUAUUCUUUAUGUUUCUCUGGUACUUUGUGUUUCAGUUAUCUUGGUGUUUUGGAUUGUUUUCUCAUUCUCUUGUUGUGAUGAUGAUGUUUAUUAUUAGAGUUUCAUGUUUCUGUUUAUCCAUGUUUUAGGAAUUGUGGUUUCAUGUAUUAUUUUCUGUUCGUGCCUUUUAGUAGUGUUUCCUGUUUUAUUGUGAAAGCCGUUGUCUUAGGUUAGUGUGUUCAGCUUUGUUCCCCCCUGUCUCGUUAGCCCUGAUCUCUCCCAGCUGUGUCUCCCUCCUGUUGACCAUUCCCUCAUUACUACCCUGUGUAUAUAAGCCCUGUGUUUUCCCAUACUCGGUGUCGUGUUGUACCCUCAGAUUAUGCCUGUGUGUUCCUGGUCGCCGGUUUCAGUGGUCACUUCACGUUUGGUUUUCAUGUCAGCAAUAAAGCUGAGGUUUUGAGUUUCACGUUUGUGUCUGAGUCCUGCGUUUGGAUCAUCCUCUCCGCCUGCCCGCACACAGAGCCAUGACAGAACGACGCGACCAGUAAUGGAUCCAGCAGACUCCGUAUGGUAUCGGCGACCCACAGUUUCUACCUUCCUCAAGGAGAGGGAGAGGCAGUGGGCUAGGUGUGCCUGGGAGCACGAGUCACCAUUCAAUGGGUCUCGUUUGGCUCUGGGUGGGCCCCGCAGCUUCCAAACUGCAAUGGCUACCGCCGUUCCAUCAGCUGUUCCGUCAGGGAUGCGAGGGGCCAAGCGCUCUCCCUCAACGGCAGUAGCUCCUCAGUUUUCUGGUGUCAC
ensembl:lncRNA